rnacentral:ncRNA from 1 species
GGGGCAGCGGGAAGCUCUUGCACGCGGUCCGCGCCCACGGCCGCUCAAGGCCGCGCCGAGCCCACUGGCGAGACCGACCCGCGUUGAU